rnacentral:rRNA from 1 species
CGGCAACAGCUCAAAUUUGAAAUCUGGCCCCCGGGUCCGCGUUGUAAUUUGUAGAGGAUGCUUUUGGUGCGGUACCUUCCGAGUUCCCUGGAACGGGACGCCAUAGAGGGUGAGAGCCCCGUCUGGUUGGACGCCAAUCCUUUGUAAAGCUCCUUCAAC